UGUCCCGGUCGUUCAAUGGAUAGGACAUAGUCCUGCGAAGACUAUAAUCCCGGUUCGAUCCCGGGUCGGGGCAU
rnacentral:tRNA from 1 species